AUUGAACGCUGGCGGCAGGCCUAACACAUGCAAGUCGAGCGAGCGGCGGACGGGUGAGUAAUGUAUGGGGACUGCCCGAUAGAGGGGGAUAACUACUGGAAACGGUGGCUAAUACCGCAUACGAUCGGAUAACCCAUAUGGGAUUAGCUAGUAGGUGGGGUAAAGGCUCACCUAGGCGACGAUCUCUAGCUGGUCUGAGAGGAUGACCAGCCACACUGGGACUGAGGGACGGAGCAGGCGGCAACGGGGGCAGCGGUUGCGAAUAUUGCACAAUGAGGGGGAGCGUGUUGAGGAGGCGCCGCGUGGGGGAUGACGGCCUUCGGGUGGUAAACGCCUUUCACCAUCGACGCGGUAGAUGGAGAAGAAGCACCGGCUAACUACGUGCCAGCAGCCGCGGUAAUAC
rnacentral:rRNA from 1 species